UACGAGUGCCCCAAGCGUUAUCCGGAAUUACUGGGCGUAAAGGGUGUGUAGGCGGUUUGGUUAGUCUGCCGUUAAAUCCUCCGGCUCAACCGGAGACCUGCGGUAGAAACGGCCAAACUACGAGGGUGUGAGAGGUCUAUGGAACUCAUGGUGUAGGGGUGAAAUCCGUUGAUAUCAUGGGGAACACCAAAAGCGAAGGCAGUAGACUGGCACAUUUCUGACGCUGAAACACGAAAGCGUGGGGAUCAAACGGG
rnacentral:rRNA from 1 species